rnacentral:rRNA from 1 species
GAUCGCAGGCUGCAACCCGCCUGCGUGAAGUCGGAAUCGCUAGUAAUCGCGGAUCAGCAUGCCGCGGUGAAUACGUUCCCGGGCCUUGCACACACCGCCCGUCACACCAUGAGAGUCGGGAACACCCGAAGUCCGUAGCCUAACAGCAAUGAGGGCGCGGCCGAAGGUGGGUUCGAUAAUUGAGGUGAAGUCGUAACAAGGUAAC